rnacentral:tRNA from 1 species
GAGAUAUUAGUAAAAAAUAUUACCCUACCUUGUCAAGGUAGAAUUACAGGUUAGAACCCUGUAUACCUCU